rnacentral:rRNA from 1 species
UCAUGCCAAUGGCACUGCCCGGUAGCUAAAUGCGGAAAAGAUAAGUGCUGAAAGCAUCUAAGCACGAAACUUGCCCCGAGAUGAGUUCUCCCUGACUCUUUAAGAGUCCUGAAGGAACGUUGAAGACGACGACGUUGAUAGGUCGGGUGUGUAAGCGCAGCGAUGCGUUGAGCUAACCGAUACUAAUGAACCGUGAGGCUUAACCUUACAACGCCGAAGGUGUUU